rnacentral:lncRNA from 1 species
AAUGGGACCGACCUGUUCGAGCUUCAUACCAGUGGGGUCACUCUCAGUGAACCCACUGGGUGUAGUCCCCGAGACCGCUGUCGAUUGCUUGCAUCGGCCGGGGUCUGAAGAAUCUUGAGUUUUGAUUGUUUUGUAAUAUCCGUCGAGAAUUUUUCCUUGUCGAAUCUGGCUGAUCCUCCCUUUGUGUCUCUUUGCCAAAAGACUUGUGAAAUGGGAUCGGCCUAUAAUGCUCUGAAGGCUGAGAAGACUCA